GCCCUCAUGGUGAAAUGGAUAUCACGCGUGGCUUCGGACCACGAAUUCCGGGUUCGAGUCCUGGUGAGGGCA
rnacentral:tRNA from 1 species